GCGAGGCAGAGCGAAUCGCUAAAAGCCGUCCCAGUUCGGAUUGCAGGCUGCAACCCGCCUGCAUGAAGUUGGAAUCGCUAGUAAUCGCGGAUCAGCAUGCCGCGGUGAAUACGUUCCCGGGCCUUGUACACACCGCCCGUCACACCAUGAGAGUCGGGAACACCCGAAGUCCGUAGCCUGACCGCAAGGGGGGCGCGGCCGAAGGUGGGUUCGAUAAUUGGGGUGAAGUCGUAACAAGGUACC
rnacentral:rRNA from 1 species